GAUGAACGCUGGCGGCGUGCUUAACACAUGCAAGUCGAACGGUGAAGGCGGAGCUUGCUCUGCUGGAUCAGUGGCGAACGGGUGAGUAACACGUGAGCAAUCUGCCCCUGGCUCUGGGAUAAGCGCUGGAAACGGCGUCUAAUACUGGAUACGAGCUGCGAAGGCAUCUUCAGCAGCUGGAAAGAAUUUCGGUCAGGGAUGAGCUCGCGGCCUAUCAGCUUGUUGGUGAGGUAAUGGCUCACCAAGGCGUCGACGGGUAGCCGGCCUGAGAGGGUGACCGGCCACACUGGGACUGAGACACGGCCCAGACUCCUACGGGAGGCAGCAGUGGGGAAUAUUGCACAAUGGGCGAAAGCCUGAUGCAGCAACGCCGCGUGAGGGACGACGGCCUUCGGGUUGUAAACCUCUUUUAGCAGGGAAGAAGCGAAAGUGACGGUACCUGCAGAAAAAGCGCCGGCUAACUACGUG
rnacentral:rRNA from 1 species